UACAGAGGGGGCAAGCGUUAUUCGGAAUUAUUGGGCGUAAAGGGUGCGUAGGUGGCGCUGUAAGUCGGGUGUGAAAUUUCGGAGCUUAACUCCGAAACUGCAUUCGAUACUGCGGUGCUUGAGGACUGGAGAGGAGACUGGAAUUCAUGGUGUAGCAGUGAAAUGCGUAGAGAUCAUGAGGAAGACCAGUGGCGAAGGCGGGUCUCUGGACAGUUCCUGACACUGAGGCACGAAGGCCAGGGGAGCAAACGGG
rnacentral:rRNA from 1 species